rnacentral:rRNA from 12 species
AAGCACAGCCACACCCAAGUGUGAGUGCCCAAUCCUGUCAGACCUUGGAAACUAAGCAGGGUUGUGCCUGGUCAGUACUUGAAUGGAAGACAACCUUGGAAGACCAGCGGGUUGUGUCAG